GAAGUAAGUUUUUAAAUUGCUGUAGAUAUCAAUUAUAGUCUGAUGCCCAGUAAUCACUUACUAAGAAAUAUUUUCUGCUUCUCUUUUGUCAUUCAUGGGAGCGAUACAUAUCCUAAAUAUUUUACACAUUUAAAACUUAAACUUGUUGGGUGUGGUGGCUUAUGCCUGUAAUCCCAGCGUUUUGGGAGGCUUGGGUGGGAGGAUUGCUUGAGGCCAGGAGUUCUAGGCCAGCCUGGGCUACAUAGUAAGACCCCGUAUCUACAAAAAAAAAAAAUUAGCCAGGCAUGGUGGUGUCUCUGCAGUACUAGCUACUCGGGAGGUUGACGUGGUAGGAUCACAGGCACCCAGCAAUUCCAGCCUGCGGUUAGAUAGGAUUACCACACUGCACUUCAGCCUGGGCAACAGAAUGGGACCAUGUCUGAAAAAAUAAAUAAAAAAUAAAACUUACAGGUAUGUUUUGAAUAUUGAUUGUAUGCAUCCUCUAUGGUGUAUCAUUUUAUUGGAAAUUAUUGCAUUGUCUACAAAAAUAUGAAGAACUCUGAGGAUGCCAAAAGAUAAACCUUGAAAGAAUACUAGAAGUGAGAUCCUCAAAAAGAGAAAGCUGAGAAGUGUUUCCCAAUUUGUCUUAUUCAUUUAUGUAUGUAAUACUUUAUCUCUAAAAACUGAAUUUCAGAGCUGGGAGGAAACUUAAAAGUUGCUCAGUCUAAUUCUUUCAGGUUGGUGCCAAGAAAGCUGAUCAGACUUGCCCAAAAUUGAACAGUCUUAAAUCUGAGCUGAGGCAGGCAUCUGACUGUCUUAAAUUGGAGUUAAAUGUGUUAGCGUCAUGGUAUUAACAUCAUUGUAUUCCACAUCUCAAAUCUUAUUUGCUUUUCAUUACAAUAGUGAAAUAAGUGUGAUUAGCAUUAUCCCCAUUUCCUUCACCGGGAGGCACAUUGUUUUAGUAUCAAAAGCAGCUACCUUGGGAGAAUCUGGGGCUAGAAACCUGACCUCAUUUCAAGUUUUACUCUGUUGCACCAAAACCUUGCGUGAGUUACUCAGUUUCUCAGCUUCAGUCCCCUCAUCAGGAAAAUGCUGUCUUAGCACUUUCUGUGAAGGAUGAUCAAAGGAGUGGAGAUUAUUAUAGAGAUUAUAAACAUACUUGACACAGAGUAAGUGUUUAAGAAGUAGCAGCUGGUUUUUACAAAGUUAUCGGUCAUAGAAGGCAGUUUAGAGGAAAGGGCAGGCUUUGGAGCGGUUCAGAGUUGUAUUAUAACCUUGGCUUCUUUGCUCACGUAGGACAUACACUCUCUAGCUGUAGCUUCCUCCCCUCUGAGAUGGAAAUUACAAGCCAUCUCGCAAUGUUGUGAGGAUUGGAGCUCAAGGGUGUAAAAUGCCUCCUCUGUGGGCUCUCCUCGGAGACGUCUUGUAUCCUAUUGAUUGUCAUCAAAGGAAAGAAGUGGCAGGAUGAUGGUGUAAGAAGGAAGAACCUAGAGUUUAAUAGUCUGAAAAAGUGGUUACAGGUUCUUGCUGUGCUUUUUCUCUCUGCGGUUUUCUGAACCCAUUGCCUAACCUGAAGCCUUAAACUUCAUCUGCAAAAAUGUUUUGUGGCAGGUGCCUCUGAAGCAGAACUCUUGAGAUGGAAGGAUUGUCAUCUGAGGAAACAAAAUCGAGAUUAAGAGAGGAGGGACUAGAAUGAGAUUCACUUACCCUCUCUCCUCCAAGGGAAGGAGAGAAUGGUGAUGCCUGCCCAAUCCUUCCUGGGCAGAACCUUUGUAGCAUGGAACAUUGGAGAAUUUGCAGUCUGCUGACUUUCUGAUUUAGGAGGUUGAUGGGGAGGCCUUAUAAUUUGCAUUUCUAACAAGUUCUGAGGUGAUGCUUCAAAUAUGUCCAGGCAGAAGGGCUGCCACACAGAGACUUCUGCCAUACCACAUGAGAAUUGAAGCCACAGACAUCUCCAGCCCUCAAGCCUGAAACCAAAAGACUGAAAACCAAACACUACAGUGAACAAAGAACAUCUCAGAACUUCUGUGGGGACCAGUGACACAAGGACCUAAGGUCUCUCUCUUCUCAUCUUGGCACUUCAGUAGUCUCCCCAAUCUUGACAAAGCCCUGGAGAAAGGGGCGGGCCUCCCGUUGAUAAGAUUGUCACCGCAGGUAAAUGGAGGUUUCAAACUGAAAGAAAGGACGAGGCCCACUGCAGAUAAAUGGAGGUUUCAACUUGAAAGAAAGGAGGAGGGCCUCCUGUUUGAUAAGAUUAUUGUCACUGAAGGUAAAUGGAGGCUUCAAAUAGAAAUAGGUUUCAGUUACAGAAAAAAAAAUUAUCUUUGUUACACAUUUGAGUUUGCAGGCCUAAGGUUACGCCCGCUACAUUGUCAUCUGUAACCAUAAGGCACUCAACAUUUUAAGCUAACUGUAAGGAUUUUUGCUUCACUCAAAGAUCCUGAGGUUUUAUUUACAUUUUUAUUUGGUGACUAUAGUUGACAAGAACAAAGCUGUGGUGAAUCAAUAAACACUGCCAUGCCUGGCAUUGUCACCUCACUAGAUUGUGCAUUCCUCUGGGACAGGGUCCAUACAUUUCCUUCGAAUCCCUCAGUCAUUAGCCUGCACAGUGCUUGUACUUAGUAGGUGCUCAAUAAAUGUUUGUGGAAUGAAUGCAUGAUGAACAAAAUAUAUACUGAGGACUCUGGUGUUGAUUCUUGUUGAUAAUGUAAUAGUUAAGAUAUGCUAUAAAUAUAAAUAUUUCAUCAAAA